GAACAUCUGUGAGGGGACAUCGUGUAGGUCUGAAAGCCCUGACAUUUAUGGAUCUUAACUUUACUAAGAACCUUUCCCGUUCCAUUAUAAGGAAGUUGCAGGCAGUUGUGCUGUCGAGCUCCUUGUUGUUAUUAUUGCCAAAAUCGAUGUGGGAGUAACACAUUUCCAGGGAGAGAAGAAUAUGAAGCUGAAGAUCAGCAUCCCAGGAGAAAAGAGGGGAAAACAUCCUAUCAGUAAAUAGAAGAAAAAGUCAGGGUAUAGAAGUGUUGUCCAUAAAAAGCUGCCAGAAAGACAGGGCCUCCUGAAAUGUUUGUGUGAGUCAUUAAGGAACUUGAUUACAAGGCUGAUACGGCGUGGAAUAGCUCUUUUUCAGGAAUCUUUAGAGUUCAGGUGAAGAUGAUUAUUAACUACAAUAUGAGAAGAGGAACCAUUAACAGGGAGAAAUAGAAAAAAUAAAUUGAGCUACUGAUAUCCACAAGAGAAAAGCAUUUGAUGCUCUUGGUGCUUAAGUGCUCCACCACAGAACUCCAGGCUAUGUUCCAAAGAAAGUCUAAGUUGUUCCGUAGCUGCAACUUUGAGAAGACUUCGUGACAAUGAUGUCCACUUCCCUGAAGAAUAUGCAUGUUUUCCUAUUGAAACCGUUGCACACACAAUUUCCUGAAAAUAUGUCACUUCGUCUCCUCCCAGUUCUCAUCACCAUUGUAAUCACCACCCCCACAGACCCCAGAGCUGAUGCUCACAUUUGCUUUUUGAGUUCUCAGAUGCUGCUGACUUUCUUCUAACCUCCUCCCUCCUCCAACCCCAGAGAGAAUUACUUAGAACAUAGGAAGAAUGAAUUCUACUCUUUCUCAAUCCAAGAUUCCACUUGUUCAACAA